rnacentral:rRNA from 1 species
AGCACCACAACAGGUGGAGCCUGCGGUUUAAUCGGACUCAACGCCGGGAAACUCACCAGAUAAGACAGCUGAAUGAUAGUCGGGCUGAAGACUCUACUUGACUAGCUGAGAGGAGGUGCAUGGCCGUCGUCAGUUCGUACUGUGAAGCAUCCUGUUAAGUCAGGCAACGAGCGAGACCCACGCCAACAGUUGCCAGCUCGUCCUCCGGGAUGGUGGGGACACUGUUGGGACCGCCUCUGCUAAAGAGGAGGAAGGAAUGGGCAACGGUAGGUCAGCAUGCCCCGAAUUAUCUGGGCUACACGCGGGCUACAAUGGGUGGGACAAUGGGUGUCGACACCGAAAGGUGAAGGCAAUCUCCUAAACCCAUCCGUAGUUCGGAUUGUGGGCUGCAACUCGCCCACAUGAAGCUGGAAUCUGUAGUAAUCGUGUCUCAAAAUGGCACGGUGAAUAUGUCCCUGCUCCUU